rfam:Gossypium raimondii Chr01_contig_252, whole genome shotgun sequence.
UGUUAAAAUUUUAUCUAUUUUUACAGUUAAAAUCGACAUGAUUGAUUGAAUAACUAGAUAGUUACACGUGACGUGUCACGUAAACCUCAUAUUGAUAUAAAUGAACUAAUUUUUAAUAAUAAAAAUGAAUAGAAUUUUCAACA